UGCUGCAGUGAUAACGCAGGCCUGUUUGCCAGUGAUUGGACUAAUUAAUAGGCUCACAGAUGAUUUGCGGCUGUCUUACCCAGUCACUGUAGAGGAGGGUGAAAAAGGAGAGAGAAGAAAAGGAGAAGGGCAAAAAUAAAGUCGCUUGACCCGUGAACUUCAGAGCCUCUUGAGAAACGCCCUCAAAAGGUCUAUUUCCUGGGAUCACAGAGCACAUGCGUAAAAAGACCUCGCCUUGCGUCUGUCCUAAGCCAGAGAGCCAUCAGGAGAAGAAGAGUGCAGUCAACCCCAACCUAACAACAUGCCCUCCCAAUGAACUGCUGAAAUCAUCAAAGCAUUGAUUCAGCAAGAUGCCAGAGAUGCUCCACAGAGAUGUUGGUCCCAACUGACUUGCAGCUGUUAUGCAGUACCUGCAGAUUUUUCAUCCAUGUUGUGAACAUCUUUUUUUCAUCUCAUCCCAAAUGUGCUCUUUUGGUUAAGAUCUGGAAACCAUUGGAAUCAAUUUUAAAGAGGAACCCACCUGAAAGUAUGUUUUAACUGUUUAAAGAUAUAGUUCAACAUUUGGGGAAAUACACAUAUUUGCUUAAUGGCAGAGAAUUCGAUGACAACACUGAUACCACAGCGGGUUAGCUUAGCUUAGCAUAUAAACUGUAAACGGGAAGGAAACAGCUAGCCUGGAUCGGUCCAACAGUUGCAAAAUCUGCCUACCAGCAUCUCUAAAGCUCACUAUUUAAUAGGUUAUAUCUCAUUGGUUUAAUAUGUACAAAAACCAAAGAUGUGUCUGAAAGCUCUAGUAGGUCUAGUAGGGGUCAAGACAAGGACCCCUUAACUGAAAGAGAGACGGAGCAGGGACCCCCUACUACAUAUAUUGUAUCAAAUUAAGUUGCGUAUUAAACCGGGCCUACAAUAACGUGAAGGGCGGCCUAAAGCCUUUAUGCAUACCUUUUUAGUGCAUACAAUUCUAAGCUAUAAGCGAUAUGUGUCGAUGGCUAUACCUUAGUGACCAUGGGCAAGUAAGCAAAUCAUCAAUCUCUUAUUUUUUGUUUUUUUUUACUUUCCAAAAAUUAACAAUAAUUUGGUGGCUCCCCUGCAGUUAC